CAGAGGAGUCCACGUGUUCUCCAAACAGACUUUGAUUCAUGUUUCCAGGAGAAAGUAGCAAACAGAUUUCUGCCGGCUGCAUCCAUCAGAGGGGAGAUGGGCUCUGUAAACAAUGGCCCGCAGCCUGUCUCCAGCGGACACGGACACACAGACGCCCCUCCCUGCGGGUCCCUGGCGGCAGAGCCUUGCCCUGCCCUGCCUCCUGGGGCCACACUCUCUGCCAAGCCCCGCUCUAGAGCCACAGAGACGUACUGCCCCUCACUGCCCGCUUCUGCAGGAAAAUACAUUCAUAACUAUUAAAACAACAGAUGCGCACUUUGUAUGAUGUAGAGUCAUCGGGUUUUCCAUACUUGGGGAAACACUGAUCUGGCCAAAUGUGAUCACUGAACACACUUGCUGAUUUUCCUAUACUGAACAUAUACAGCAGUGUAACUGAUAAAAAUAAUUAUGGACCAAGGAAGUCAAAGACUUACAUGCUGAGAACUAUAAAACACUGAUAAAGGAAAUUGAAGAUGAUUCAAACAAAUGGAAAGAUAUCCCAGGAUCUUAGAUUAGGAGAAUUAAUAUUGCUAAAAUGGCCACGCUG